GUGGAGAGACAGGAUCUGAGGAAGGGAAGGAGUUCAUUAUUAUUCUCUGAAGUCAUCAGGGAGCACCAAGAGGGUGGGAUUUCAGGAAGUAUUUAAAUGAAAGGAGACACAUGGCUUGGCACAGUGAGAGGGAGGUUUUCCAGGCUUCCUGUGCUGUCUUGGGGACCUGCUCAGAGGCUGGACCGCGUCAUGCUCAGAAGGCCCUGUUUUCUUUAGACGCUGACUCCUGCUGUCUACCAGAUCCUCGUGGUACAAUGACUGGUGUAGACUGGCUUGUUGAAGUCACUCUCUGGAUCUGAGCAACGCUGGCUGAGCCGUGAUGAAGUAUUCCUAUCCAUCCACUAUGCUUCACAGUGGGAAUCUCUCACUGUUCAUCACCGCUGCCCUAGCAGCCGCAGGGAUUCUUCACCCAUGGUUGCUUAGGUUUAUAAGCAAGGAAGCUGAAUGAAGUCCCUUUCCUCUCUGGAUGAGCCCCUGGGUUUCUGGAAGAGUCUUAAAAUCACCCCUAAAUGGCUUCCAAGCACUGAAGCCCGAGAUGUUAGCUGGCCUGUGUGAGGCCUUGAGACAGAAUGCCACAGCCACACCCCAAGGAUGCUGAAGGGGAUUUCCCUCCUCUGUGGUUUUUCUCCUUUCUUCCCGCAGCACUCCUCCUACGUGCUAACAUCUUCUAGUCAAACAACUCUCCUUUUCAAAGGGACCAGGCACAGUUUCUGCUUAUCCCUGAGUAGCAGUGUUCAGUUUCCUGCCAGCCUGUGGAGUUUUUCAAACAAGCCAAUCACCUCCUCCUGUGGGAACUGAGAAGCACCCCACCCUCUCGAUACUACAAAGCCCCUGCUUGUUCCCUAGUGCAACUCCCAUGUGGUCCUGUGGAGCAUAUGGUAUCUUCCUCUUCUGGGCAGUGAGCAUAUGUGACUAAUAAACUAUCUAUCUCAUCUGUUCA
rnacentral:lncRNA from 10 species